AAUUAAACUAUGAAGAGGAAUAGUAAAAAUAAAGGCUUUUACAGAGAGGAAGUUAUAUGGUGUGAGACUUCUAAAGCUAUAUUUUGAACCCGCCUUAGAGUUCUGCAAUAUAUAAAAAUUGCAGCGGAUUCUACCGUUAUAGAAUUUAAGUUGGAUGUUUUUACAUCAAUUAGGGUGGUACCGCCGAUACAGCCUCGGUCCCUUUU
rnacentral:ncRNA from 1 species